UGCCCGGUCGUCUAAUGGCAGGACAACGGACUCUGAAUCCGUUUAUCUUGGUUCGAAUCCAAGCUGGGCAGCCU
rnacentral:tRNA from 1 species